rnacentral:tRNA from 1 species
UCCUCGGUGGCUUAGUGGUAAAGAAUCUGUCUGCAACGCAGAAGACGUGGGUUGGAUCCCUGUCUCAGGAA